GCGGGUGUAGCUCAGCGGUAGAGCACCAGCUUGCCAUGCUGGGUGUCGAGGGUUCGAAUCCCUUCACCCGCUCCA
rnacentral:tRNA from 1 species